rnacentral:rRNA from 2 species
GAAAGACGUGGUAGCCUGCGAUAAGGUUCGGUGAGGUGGCAACAACCUGUGACCCGGACAUCUCUGAAUGGGGAAACCCACUCAUCAUAAGAUGAGUAUCAUGCACUGAAUACAUAGGUGUAUGAGGCGAACCAGGGGAACUGAAACAUCUAAGUACCCUGAGGAAAAGAAAUCAACCGAGAUUCCCCUAGUAGCGGCGAGCGAACGGGGACCAGCCCUUAAGCAUGUGACUGAUUAGGCGAACACGCUGGGAAGCGUGGCCGUAGCGGGUGAUAGCCCCGUAGUCGAAAAUCUGAUCAUGUGAAAUCGAGUAGGUCGGGGCACGAGAAACCUUGACUGAAGACGGGGGGACCAUCCUCCAAGGCUAAAUACUCCUGGCUGACCGAUAGUGAACCAGUACCGUGAGGGAAAGGCGAAAAGAACCCCGGAGAGGGGAGUGAAAUAGAUCCUGAAACCGUGUGCGUACAAGCAGUAGGAGCAGACUUGUUCUGUGACUGCGUACCUUUUGUAUAAUGGGUCAGCGACUUAUAUUCAGUGGCGAGGUUAACCGUAUAGGGGAGCCGUAGGGAAACCGAGUCUUAACUGGGCGACACAGUCGCUGGAUAUAGACCCGAAACCGAGCGAUCUAUCCAUGAGCAGGGUGAAGGUUGAGUAACAUCAACUGGAGGCCCGAACCAGGAUCUGUUGAAAAAGAUUUGGAUGACUUGUGGAUCGGAGUGAAAGGCUAAUCAAGCUCGGAGAUAGCUGGUUCUCCUCGAAAGCUAUUUAGGUAGCGCCUCACGUAUUACCGCCGGGGGUAGAGCACUGUUUCGGCUAGGGGGUCAUCCCGACUUACCAACCCGAGGCAAACUCCGAAUACCGGUGAGUACAGCGUGGGAGACACACGGCGGGUGCUAACGUCCGUCGUGAAAAGGGAAACAACCCAGACCGUCAGCUAAGGUCCCGAAAUCCUGGUUAAGUGGGAAACGAUGUGGGAAGGCUCAGACAGCUAGGAGGUUGGCUUAGAAGCAGCCAUCCUUUAAAGAAAGCGUAAUAGCUCACUAGUCGAGUCGGCCUGCGCGGAAGAUGUAACGGGGCUAAACCAGGUACCGAAGCUACGGGUUCAUUCUUAGGAAUGAGCGGUAGAGGAGCGUCGUGUAAGCCAAUGAAGGUGGAUUGAGAAGUCUGCUGGAGGUAUCACGAGUGCGAAUGCUGACAUGAGUAACGAUAAAGGGAGUGAAAAACUCCCUCGCCGGAAGACCAAGGGUUUCUGUUCGACGCUAAUCGGAGCAGAGUGAGUCGGCCCCUAAGGCGAGGCCGAAAGGCGUAGUCGAUGGGAAACGGGUCAAUAUUCCCGUACCGGACAUGGUUGCGAUGGGGGGACGAAGAAGGCUAGGUGAGCCAGGCGUUGGUAGUCCUGGUGAAAGUGAGUAGGCUUGGAUCUUAGGUAAAUCCGGGAUCCUUUAAGGCCGAGACACGA